CCUACGUGAGGCAGCAGUGGGGAAUAUUGCACAAUGGGGGGAACCCUGAUGCAGCAACGCCGCGUGAAGGAAGAAGGCUUUCGGGUUGUAAACUUCUAUCAAUAGGGACGAAAAGAAUGACGGUACCUAAAUAAGAAGCCCCGGCUAACUACGUGCCAGCAGCCGCGGUAAUACGUAGGGGGCAAGUGUUAUCCGGAAUUACUGGGUUUAAAGGGUGCGUAGGCGGGCAUUUAAGCCGGCGGUCAAAUGUCGGGGAUCAACCCCGGCCUGCCGUCGGAACUGGGUGCCUUGAGUGGGCGAGAAGUAUGCGGAAUGCGUGGUGUAGCGGUGAAAUGCAUAGAUAUCACGCAGAACCCCGAUUGCGAAGGCAGCAUACCGGCGCCCUACUGACGCUGAGGCACGAAAGUGCGGGUAUCGAACAGGAUUAGAUACCCGGGUAGUC
rnacentral:rRNA from 1 species